AUUAUAAAACCAUGGGAAACCAUCAAACAAACAAGGUGUAGUUGAAGUUGAAGGCCAGUCAUUAUCAUUCAUUCCUCUUAAUGGACUGAGAAAGAUGGUUAAACAUGCUGGCAAUUCAUAUAAAUGGUGCCUAACUGGACCGACAAGCCAAUCAAUUUAUCAAACCUAUUACAGGCAAAAUUAACAAUUGAAGUUUGAUUUAUAUCCCAAGAAAAUGUUUUGUUGAACUAAGCCACAUAUUCAUAUUAGCUAUUCUUACCUAUAACCUAUGUUACCAUGUUGUGGAGGGGCAUGAGGAGGAUAUCCAGAUGGAUUAAGGCCAUCACGAAGUGCCCUAACUAGUUCUUCAUCAUUAUCAGUUCGGUAUCUGUACCCUAGAAAAGGGCCAAUUUUCAAUACAAGGCCAAACGCAAACAUAGUAUGAACUUAAAAUAUAUGGAGCUUGAUAGGCAUAAAAACCUAAAAACCUAGCCUCCUCCAAUCUUCAACUCGAGAAAGUGCAACAGCAAGAUUUGCUUCUUCCUUCUUAUCAACUCUAGAGCGCUUAUCCAUGGUUCUAGUUGUUAUGUCUUUCUUUCCCAAACCCUGGGGAUGGCUGCUACCACUAGUUCCCUGACUAAGAGAUCUCGCUGGUGCGCCCUUGACCAUGUUUUCCUGCUUACCUCUAGUUGGCGAGCCUCGGGCCACAUUUUCUCGUCCACCUCCCUUAAAAGUUAGGAGUGACCGCAGCCACCUGUUCUUAACCAUGUUUCCUUCUGCAAGACAGCCACUACCGCCUCUACAGCACCUACUAGUUAAAAAUCUUACUCAAUACAGGUGGCUUAGGAGGAGAACAUAAUAUACAACAAUCACUAUUACGUUAUGUAUUCAUGCUACACAGAAGAAUUUCAUCAUACAGUGCGACACAG
rnacentral:misc_RNA from 1 species